UUCGUACUCCCUCCGUUCCAAAAUAGAUGACUCAACUUUGUACUAAAAUUAGUACAAAGUUGAGUCAUCUAUUUUGGAACGGAGGGAGUAUAUC
rnacentral:pre_miRNA from 1 species